GUCCUGUUGUGCCCAACUCAUGAUUUAUCCAGGUCACACCAGUCUGGUCUGUCACAGUAAGAGUCCAUCACCAAAUCCUUCUGCCUUUCCAAACAUUUGCUGACUCUGGCCCCUUUUCUUCAGGGCCACCAGGAAACACACCUUCAGGAAGCACCUUUUCUGUUCUAUCCCAAAGGGCACCAUCACAUACACUAUAAUAUGAAUCAUGACCCCCGGAGUUGUGUGGAGUUUCUGCAUCUCUCCCUCCCCACUGUGGCUACCCUCAUCCAGCAACCAUCCUGUCUCUCACCGGUAUUACCGCAGCUGAGACCCAGGUCUUAAGGAAGCUGAGACCCAGGCCAGCAGGGGCCUCACAGGUAGAAUGAAGCUUGGAAAAAGAGGAGGGUGUAAGACUCUGGAUGAAGCUGAGAGAUCCUUCCAUGCUUGGCUGAGAGACUACACAGACAUGAGCUUCAGGAGACUCCAAAGCCUCGGAUCCCCUUCUAAACUAGCACUGAAUUCUGAUUGGCUGUCUUUGCCUGCCUCAGUUUGUUCCUUUUACUGAUUGGCUAGGUUCUUCUGCCCAUGGCAGAGCCCUGCUCCAGCCACCGGAUCCUCCCACCUGCCACAGUGUCACCUGGGAUUGGCUGGGCUCUGAAAGGCCAGGCUGGCUUGACUCUUGCCAUCAUCAGAUUCUUCCUCAUUAAACAAAUGAAUCACAAUCCUAAUUAAUUUGAGCAACAGAAUUUAUGUAACUACUCCCAGCAGGAUGUCUGCUCUCAGUCAGCAGAGAGAUUACUUCCUCUCUCUGGGAAAUUCCAGCCUUGCUGGUCAAUAAGCCUUAAUGAUGACUGAAAUCUCCCAUCUGUCUCUGCUCAGGGCAGGUAACCCCUACUAAGCAGACACCCAGUUGGCUCGAGGCAGUACCCCGGGCACCGGCAGGACAAGGACAACGAUCUCCCAGCCUAGAUGUGUCCUGAGCCACAUGGAGCACACAGAUUACAGGAUCUGACUCCCAUUUGGGCCUUCCACCUCCGCUGGCCUAAGCAGUCAAGUGUCAGAGAGCACUGGACCUAACAGCUCCCUCACCAGAGCAGCUGUGAUUCCUUCUUCAUUUCCAGCAGGGAAGACCCAACAACUUUUAUAAUAUGGGAUUUCUUUUAUUCUCAUGAUAAUAAUGUUCAUUGUGGAAAAUAAAAAAAAAUGAUAAAAUAAAAAUCAGCCAGAAUUCCAACUUCUGGAGAUUUUGGUGUCUUUCUGCAAAGUUCCUAUGCACAUAGAUACUUUAUAAAAUUAUGAACAUACUGUACAUACAGUUUUGGAAUAUGCCUUUUUCCUUCUGUCAUGAAAAAGUCUUCAAAUGCCUUUUAACAGCUACACAAUAGUUCACUACAUGAACCAACUCAAAUGUAACUAUUUUUGGCCUUUUGUUAUAAAUAACACAAGAACCCUCAGUCUUUGUUACAUAAUGUCCUAACAGAGUAGGGGAAAUGCUCCCCAAUCCGGUGCAAUGUCCUGUGCCCAGGGAAACCAAUU
rnacentral:lncRNA from 1 species